GCAGCCUGCAGGACAUACUUAUUUCUAACCUAAUUAGGUGUUGGCAUUAACUUUUCCUUUUCUCAGGUGCUUCAGGCAGCCCUGACCACGUGGGCAUGGAGGAUUUGAGCAUUACAUGCUACAGAAAUGGUGCCUGCCAUCUGAAAGCUUCUGCCUUCAGGUUCAAUUCUGCCUUCUCAGAGACCCUGAGAUCAAUGCAGCAUUCAUCUUAAUAUCUUAUGGGUACAGAAGAGUGUUCCAGUAGACAGCAGGACAUCAAUUACAGAUGUGAAGCAUACUCACAGGCAUAUGGGUCUUAUGUUAGCAGCCUGUUCAAAGAAUUAAGAAGUGAGGAUCCAAGACAGCCCAGAUGUUACAAAUUUCUAUCAGUGGUCACUGCAGCAUGAAAUCGCAUGUGAAUUUCACUUCUUGCAAUUCUUCAAGGCAAUGGGAGCCUGUAACAAGGGUGACUAUUCUGGAGAAACUGCCCAAGAGAACCUCUGUGCCUUGGUGUCCUGAUGGAGGAGAAAAACUUGACUCAAAUGAGGAUACAUCAGUUUUAAUCCCAUCAAAUCGUUGGCCUUUCUGUUAAAAACUUUAAGAAGAUUGUCUUCUAUGCUGAUGUUAUUUGUGAUGUGAACAUAUUCUCUGGAUUUGGAAAAUAAAACCAAGGUAACUGGAUUUUGAAAAUGAACUCAUUUACAAUUGGUUGUUAGAGUAGUCACAACAUGACUUUCAGGCCUCUUGUGGCUUGGGCAGAACCUGAACUUAAUAGUUCUUGAAAUUAAAAGCUCUGCACGCCAUUACUUAUUCCCUGGCCAUACCAGAUUGCUAAUAUAUUAUCUCUGAUGUUUUUGGGGUUUUUUAGAACAAUAUUUAGGCAAAAGGAAGAUGCAUUUCUGCAAUUCUGUCGGCAAAAUAACACUGACAGAAGAUGAUGUCAUGGUUGAUGUCUUUCUAUAGAAGUAUUUAUAAACUAUGCCUACAUAUAAAUCUAUAUCCUUCAACAGUCUGCUGAAA